GAARGAGAGGAUGAGGUCAAGUCAUCAUGGCCUUUAUGCCCAGGGCUACACACGUACUACAAUGGCAUGUACAAAAGGAAKCUACUUGGUAACAARAUGCAAAUCUCAAAAGCAUGUCUCARUUCGGAUUGARGUCUGCAAUUCRACCUCAUGAAGUUGGAAUCGCUAGUAAUCGAGUAUCAUCAAUGAYGCGGUGAAUACGUUCUCKGACCUUGUACACACCGCCCAUCAAGCCAUGGGAGUUGGUARAGCUUGAAAACAGUG
rnacentral:rRNA from 1 species